GCCGGAGAAGAUGCCGAGAAAUAGCUGGCGUAGGUUGAAAGCAGCAUGUCCGUACCGCAAACUGACACAGGUAGGCGAGGAGAGUAUCCUCAGGCGCUCGAGAGAACCGUCCUUAAGGAACUAGGCAAUUUUCCCCCGUAAGUUCGCGAUAAGGGGUCCCUCCGCGUGUGCUUGAUUUAUCAGGUGCAUGGCGAGGGCGCAGAGAAAUGGCUCUGGCGACUGUUUAUCAAAAACACAGUUCUGUGCUAACUCGUAAAGAGGAUGUAUACAGAAUGACGCCUGCUCGGUGCCGGAAGGUUAAGGGGAGGGGUUAGCCGCAAGGCGAAGCUCUAAACUGAAGCCCCGGUAAACGGCGGCCGUAACUAUGACGGUCCUAAGGUAGCGAAGUUCCUUGUCGGGUAAGUUCCGACGUGCAUGAACGGCGUAACGACUGGAGCAGUGUCUCAAGGACGGACUCGGUGAAAUUGUAGAUGUGGUGAAGAUACCACAAUCCCGCAGCAACACGGAAAGACCCCAUGAACCUUUACUGUAGCUUGGUAUUGAUGCCUGACAUGGCAUGCGUAGGAUAGGUGGGAGGCUAUGAAGCUCUGGUUCUGGCCAGGGCUGAGCCAACCUUGAAGUACCACCCUUGUUAUGUUAGUCACCUAACCAUGACCCGUGAAUCCGGGCAUGGGACAGUGCUAAGUGGGCAGUUUGACUGGGGCGGUCUCCUCCCAAAGAGUAACGGAGGGGUUCAAAGGCACACUCAGCGUGGCUGGCAAUCACGUUUAGAGCACAAGGGUAUAAGUGUGCUUAACUGCGAGACUCAUGUGUCGAGCAGAUGCGAAAGCAGGACCUAGUGAUCCGGCGGUUCCGUAUGGAAGGGCCGUCGCUCAACAGAUAAAAGGUACUCUGGGGAUAACAGGCUGAUGACACCCGAGCGUUCAUAGCGGCGGUGUCGUUUGGCACAUCGAUGUCGGCUCAUCACAUCCUGGGGCUGAAGGCGGUCCCAAGGGUCGGGCUGUUCGCCCGUUAAAGUGGUACGCGAGCUGGGUUCAGACCGGCGUGAGCCAGGUCGGUCCCUAUGUGCUGUGGGCGUAGGAAUCUUGAGGGGCUAUUUCCUUAGUACGAGAGGAUUAGGAAGUACUGACCUCUGGUGCACCGAUUGUCGCGCUAGCGGCAUAGUCGGGUAGCUACGUCGGGAAAGGAUAACCGCUGAAAGCAUCUAAGCGGGAAGCCCACCCCAAGAUUAGGAUUCCGUGGUCUUCGGACCUGAAGUGCCCUGGUAGACCACCAGGUUGAUAGGCCGGAGGUGUAAGUGCAGAAAUGCACUCAGCUGACCGGUACUAACGCACGACGACUUGACCAU
rnacentral:rRNA from 1 species